rnacentral:rRNA from 1 species
AGAGUGAACGCUGGCGGCAGGCCUAAUACAUGCAAGUCGAACGGCAGCACGGCAGAGCUUGCUCUGUGGGUGGCGAGUGGCGGACGGGUGAGGAAUACAUGGGAAUCUGCCCAGUCGUGGGGGAUAACGUAUGGAAACGUACGCUAAUACCGCAUGCGCCCUUCGGGGGAAAGCCGGGGACCUUCGGGCCUGGCGCGAUUGGAUGAGCCCAUGUCGGAUUAGCUAGUUGGCGGGUAACGCCCACAAGGCGACGAUCCGUAGCUGGUCUGAGAGGAUGAUCAGCCACACUGGAACUGAGACCACGGUCCAGACUCCGACGGGAGCAGCAGUAGGGAAUAUUGGACAAGUGGGCACAAGCCUGAUCCAGCCAUGCCGCGUGUGUGAAGAAGGUCCUUACGGUGUAAACGCUACGUUUUU